CGUCGUCCGUGUUUUUAUAAAAUAAUGAAAUCGUGAAAUUGUACGUUUUCCUACGUUUUUCUCCACUUAAGUGCUUUUAUUUAAGAAAUGACGUCAAAAAUCAAAAAAAUAACUCGUUUAAAGUACAAUCUAGACAACUUGAAAUUUCAGAAAAGGUGCUACACUUAUACAUCGAAGCAAGUUGACUAAGAAAAAAACGUGUCCACAGACUAGAAC